rnacentral:rRNA from 1 species
AGUGAACGCUGGCGGUAGGCCUAACACAUGCAAGUCGAACGGCAGCACAGUAAGAGCUUGCUCUUACGGGUGGCGAGUGGCGGACGGGUGAGGAAUACAUCGGAAUCUACUUUUUCGUGGGGGAUAACGUAGGGAAACUUACGCUAAUACCGCAUACGACCUACGGGUGAAAGCAGGGGAUCUUCGGACCUUGCGCGAUUGAAUGAGCCGAUGUCGGAUUAGCUAGUUGGCGGGGUAAAGGCCCACCAAGGCGACGAUCCGUAGCUGGUCUGAGAGGAUGAUCAGCCACACUGGAACUGAGACAAGGUCCAGACUCCUACGGGAGGCAGCAGUGGGGAAUAUUGGACAAUGGGCGCAAGCCUGAUCCAGCCAUACCGCGUGGGUGAAGAAGGCCUUCGGGUUGUAAAGCCCUUUUGUUGGGAAAGAAAAGCAGCAGGUUAAUACCCCGCUGUUCUGACGGUACCCAAAGAAUAAGCACCGGCUAACCUCGUG